UACGAAGGGGGCUAGCGUUGCUCGGAAUCACUGGGCGUAAAGCGCACGUAGGCGGAUCUUUAAGUCAGGGGUGAAAUCCUGGAGCUCAACUCCAGAACUGCCUUUGAUACUGGGGAUCUCGAGUCCGGAAGAGGUGGAGUGGAACUCCGAGUGUAGAGGUGAAAUUCGUAGAUAUUCGGAAGAACACCAGUGGCGGAAGGCGGCUCACUGGUCCGGUACUGACGCUGAGGUGCGAAAGCGUGGGGAGCAACAGGG
rnacentral:rRNA from 1 species